UACAGAGGGUGCAAGCGUUAAUCGGAAUUACUGGGCGUAAAGCGUGCGUAGACGGUUAUGUAAGUCGGGUGUGAAAGCCCCGGGCUCAACCUGGGAAUGCCAUUCGAGACUGCAUAGCUAGGGUGCGGAAGAGGGAAGCGGAAUUUCCGGUGUAGCGGUGAAAUGCGUAGAUAUCGGUAGGAACACCAGCGGCGAAAGCGGCUUGCUGGUCCAGCACCGACGUUCAGGCACGAAAGCGUGGGGAGCAAACAGG
rnacentral:rRNA from 1 species